rnacentral:misc_RNA from 1 species
GAACUCUCCCCUUUCUCACCUCCUUUCUGACCAACCUUAAAAUCAUUUGUAUUUCUCUUGUUCUUCCGAUCACCAUAAAGCUGGGUAAGCCAGUCUACAUCAUGGGGUUCAUCAUUACUAGAAGGUUCAAACUUCAGAAGCUCAGCUUCAGUAGGCAAUACACCCCAAUAGCUCAAUGAAUCAGUCCCCACUUUUUUGUAUAAAUAACCAUCCUUCAGCAUCUUUCCAUCAAGAAUUUCAAACAUUAGGUUUGUAUCCCGAUCUUUCCGGUACUGGAUUAGAGGCCGAAAGUCUUCGAGCUCUGUAGAGCUAAUUAGUCUUGGUGCUGGAAUAAUUCCUUUCUUGGCAGCAACUCCUCCCCCAAAUUUGUCAGCAAUGGCUUGUAAGUCUACUCUUGGAAUCAGCUUCACUGUCACUUUCUUCCGCGAAUCAUUCACUGCCACAACCUGUGCUAGAUCACCCUUGUAUAUUCCACUUUUGACACGUGCCCACAUGCCCUCAGAAAUCCCACUAGACUUCUUCCGGACAGCAAUCAAAUGAGAAACUUCGUUCAGUGGAACAGGUGCCACUCUAGUUGAAUAUAUACUACAAAGGCCUUUACAUGCCUCGUAAACAUCACAUUGUUUGUCAGACUCGAUAUAUAUAUAUCCCUUCACAUGAUCAAGUGCAAAAGCGGAUAUUAUCUGCAGCUUUGUUCCUAAAGCAAGCAAGUCUAUAUACUUUUGCAUAAGACAGAAAGCUGAGUGCCUUUCUCUUCCAACCGUGCAUUUAACUUUCCAUAUAGUUGGAUCCUUGAGAGAAGGCACAAGUGUAUCCUGCUCAGACUGUCUCUUCCUAUCAUCAGCAUCUUCUGCAUAGGUAACAAAACUAGAACCUGGUUUAUAGCGCUCCCUUAACAUCCGCUCUAGCUCUUCUCCAUCCAUCUCCUCCUCUUUGAUCACUGGGGGUUGGGGUGUUCUCGCAGGUUCAUUCUUGAUUUCAGCAUUACUUCCAAAUUCUUCUUCAAGCAAAUCUUGCUCGAAGAAGUCAGAGUCACUGAAGUCAAAAUCUGAGUCAUCGUCGUCGUCGUCAUCGACCUCGUAAGCAACGUCAUCGACGAACUGAAGAACACUGCGAUCUUUUCUUUUCCGACCACCGGUUUUAUCGUCAUUGAAAUCAUCGCUAGAAUUACGCUUACGUUUUCCGGCCGACGACGAAGCUUUGCCGUCAGUGACUUUUUCCUUACCCUUUUGUAAAACCGAUUUUCUCCCCAUUUUUGCUUCUACAGCAUCACAGAGAGAGUGUGAGAAAGAAAGU